rnacentral:tRNA from 1 species
GUCUGGUUGGCUCAGUUGGUAGAGCAUGUGACUCUUGAUCUCGGGGUCAUGUGUUCAAGUCCCAUGUUGGGCA